rnacentral:tRNA from 1 species
UCCCUGAUGGUCUAGUGGUUAGGAUUCGGUAAUUUCACUGCUGUGGCCUGGGUUCAAUUCUUAUUCCGGGAA